GUAAAUUCAAGCUCUGCUUGGUGUUGGGUGUUUGUCUUUUUGAAAGACUCGCCCCAAAUACAUUGGCAGCUAGUAUAUUGGUUUGAAGCGCAGCACAUUUGCAAUUCGAGCUGGUUAUAUUGGCAUCCAGAAAGCAUAACAUCAC
rnacentral:misc_RNA from 1 species